rnacentral:lncRNA from 1 species
GUGGAAAGACCUCCAUUUCACUUUCAGUUCAAACCUGACAGGAAGAGGAGUUUAUAAAGUAUUUAAACUUAAAUGUAUGACAUCACUCUUAAUAAUUAAAUCAAUAAGAGCUGUUUCAUUUGGUUGUAAUUAACUUGAUAUAGUUUUUUUUAUUAUUAUUAGGCCUAUUGUGCAGUGAGAGGGGUGUUGACGCGCACACAGCGGCAGAUGCUGUAAAUAGGAAUUACUGGCAACGCCGCAGAGUUCACAUGAAGCGCUGACCAAAAUAAAAGUGAAAGCGAACUCUGGCGCAGCAUACGGCGCACACGGGUUCUCCUCUUUGUUCGUUUUUAUCCAACUUUUAACGCGUCUGUUGGACGGAUUCACCUCAGCAGUCAGUCAGCAGUGGAUUGAUAAUGAUGGUGGUUUAAGGGUCGUCAAAAGAUCAAAAGUUAUCAGUGCUCCUCGUCCUCCACGUCUGCAGCAGGAAAAAGAGCAGACUGAUGGUCACCUGCCUCUAAAGGAACUAUGUCUGAAACUGACAGACUGUGGGAUUUGGACAAAUAUACAUUCAGCAAAAUUUGUAUAAAAACAUAUAUAUGUGUGUGAUGUACACUGUUUCACAUCUCUUUUCAUUUCCAGUCUACAGGAGAGGAACCUCGCUGCCACUAAUCCCACAAAGCUCAUCUGUUGUUAUUAUAUAGGACAUCAGAGAGUGGGUUGCAUGUAUUUCCUUGGCUUGUGAUAUCACACAUUUGAAGUGUUCAUGUAGAAAUAAUAAAAUAUGAAAAGCUGG